GACGAAUAAAUAGAUUAAAGGCCAAAAAAACUUCAAGAAAAAAUUCGAGAAAAUUGAUAAAAACGUUUUCAUGAAAACUGACUUUGAAAUUUGUAAACAAAUUUCUCUAACAACAGAUUCGCAACUGAAUUCGAAACUGUCCGGAUACUUUCGUGAGGGGAGUGUAGAUAUAUCUAAAAGGGCGUUGCCUCUGGUUUCUGUUGAAUGAAAGGAGAGCCAGAGCAAAAGUAAUAACAGUGCAUAAAAUUUUUAAUUAGCUAAUUGACAUCCCAUGUAAAUAAAUAAGUAAAUAAAGUAUCACAUCCACAAAGAAUCAAGUAACUCUCAAGGUAUCUAUCUAUAGAACAAACAUCUAAAAUGUUGUAUACUUCCCAAGUGCUGCCAUGUUGUCGAACACUUUGCCUGCCUACAAACACCAAAAGACAUUAACAGCUUUACAGAGCUCUUUUGCUCAAAUGCAAUUUAUUUAGUGGCAGAAAACUACUUCACUCACUCGAAAAACUAGUUGAUAAAUCGUAUGAUAUAGUGCAUUAAUUAUUAAUUGUUAACUAAUUAUAAGAAGGUACUGACUAAACAUUUAUAUAAUAACCAAAGCUGGUUGCUAUCCUUUCCGAUGAAGGGGGAGUCGGGGAGAGCCAUGGCCCCCACUUUUCAAUCUGUGUCGGAGCCCAUGUCAGAUAGAUAGAUAUGUCAUUCGCACAGAAGUUGCAGAGGGCAUGUACUGCCCUAGCAUGCUCCUGUCAAAAAUAUUCGAUUUUGUCAGAAAAUAUUGCAAAUUUCAUAUGAACGGGUGCUGUUUCUUGCUAUUUGAUUCAAAGCACAGCUGUCUUUGAAAAAGACAACUUUCUUUGAAAAAUACAACUUUCAGCUGUGUAAAGUUAAAUAGAAAUUGGCUUCAAGCAUCAAAUUUCUAACUGGAAAAGGUAUAAAAAUUUACAACAAGAUCAGUAUACCAAAUUGAACUACGUGCGAAUUGGUUGCUUAUUCUCGAAAGAACUGGCAUCAAAAUGCGGUCAUUUGUAACAGUUGCUGUUUUUGGAUUUUUGAUCCUGUGCUUCUUUGCAAAACAAGCUGAUCUUUUCCCAACGGAUGAUUCUGCCAAGGUUGUUCCUCAAAGCAAAGAUGUUCCCAAGAAACAGGAUGUGGAGCUGCAAAAGAGCAAAGCAACAAGCUUCUUGAAGAGUCAAGCGACAAAGCCUUCCGAUGGUUUGUUAGAAGAGUGUAGGGAAGGUUGUGACUUGGAGGAGAUUGUUGAGCAUUUGUAAACCAGCAACAUUCUCCUUCAUUUUUAUUUGAUUUGAAAAUGCUCAAGAUGACAGUAAUAAUAUAAUUUUACCAGUUAAUUUGUUGUUUUUUUCACUUGUCAUUUGAAAAUUAAAUGUUCUAUGGGCAAUCAUCUGCUCGAUUAACUUUUAGAACCAUGAAGAUGUUAGGACAUGCA